rnacentral:snRNA from 1 species
AGCUUUGCACAGUGGCAGUAUCGUAGCCAAUGAGGUUUAUCUGAGGCAGGAUUAUUGCUAAUUGAAAAAUUAGCAGGGCAUAGUGGUGCACGUCUAUAAUCCCAGCUACUCAGGAGGCUGAGGCAGGAGAAUUGCUUGAACCUGGGAGGUGGAGGUUUCAG